AGAGUCCAUCAGUGUAUCUGCUCCUUGGUGUGUGUGUGCUGCUGCUGUCUGCACUGACUGUUUCUGCAGUCCUUGCCUGCCUGCCUCCAUUUUCUCCGAAUCGAGCAUUCCUCAACUUAAUGAUCAUCAUUCCGUAUUUCAUCUCCACCUUCCUGAUGGUGUCGAUUCAUGAAAGAAUCCAGAGAGAGCGCUCACUGGCCAUUUGCAUGGAAAUGGCGAUGCUUGAAAGUGCUCAGGGAUCUGAUGAAGGCUAUGAGGACAUUGAUGCUGACAUCACCACUGAGCAUGUUUUCUGACCUACAGAGACUGCUGACAGCCACUGAGAGCAAAUCAUCCAAAGGGGUAGAGGGGACCCUAACCAUGACCCGCCACCAGUGAAAUGGUGGUUAUAAAAGAUUACUCAGGAUCAUGUAUUUAUUUUUGUCUUUUAAAACAUAACCCUUCAGCCCUUCAGUUUCUGACUUGUUGAACACAAUUAAAACCAGGAUAUUUGGAUAAACCCAUCUCACAGAUGGUCAAUAAAAAGUAUGAAGAGAUCAGAACUGUUUCUGCCUUUAUUGUGUUCAUCUGUUUAAAUAAAUCAUGUUUGCCUGAAGUGACAGGCAGCACAGCGGGGAGCUAGGAAGUAAGUCAAUGCUUUGUUCAUGUGACACUUCACAAACUUUAUUUUUCAAUUAUCUAAUUACCAGCUGAACCUUCUGAACCGAAACAAA
ensembl:lncRNA